UACGAAGGGGGCUAGCGUUGCUCGGAAUCACUGGGCGUAAAGCGCACGUAGGCGGAUUGCUAAGUCAGGGGUGAAAUCCUGGAGCUCAGCUCCAGAACUGCCCUUGAUACUGGCGGUCUCGAGUCCGGGAGAGGUGAGUGGAACUGCGAGUGUAGAGGUGAAAUUCGUAGAUAUUCGCAAGAACACCAGUGGCGAAGGCGGCUCACUGGCCCGGUACUGACGCUGAGGUGCGAAAGCUAGGGGAGCAAACGGG
rnacentral:rRNA from 1 species